AUUGAACGCUGGCGGCAGGCCUAACUCAUGCAAGUCGAGCGGAUGAAGAGAGCUUGCUCUCUGAUUCAGCGGCGGACGGGUGAGUAAUGCCUAGGAAUCUGCCUGGUAGUGGGGGACAACGUUUCGAAAGGAACGCUAAUACCGCAUACGUCCUACGGGAGAAAGUGGGGGAUCUUCGGACCUCACGCUAUCAGAUGAGCCUAGGUACGAUUAGCUAGUUGGUGAGGUAAAGGCUCACCAAGGCGACGAUCGUUAACUGGUCUGAGAGGAUGAUCAGUCACACUGGAACUGAGACACGGUCCAGACUCCUACGGGAGGCAGCAGUGGGGAAUAUUGGACAAUGGGCGAAAGCCUGAUCCAGCCAUGCCGCGUGUGUGAAGAAGGUCUUCGGAUUGUAAAGCACUUUAAGUUGGGAGGAAGGGCAGUAAGUUAAUACCUUGCUGUUUUGACGUUACCGACAGAAUAAGCACCGGCUAACUUCGUGCCAGCCGCCGCAGUAA
rnacentral:rRNA from 1 species